AUUCUUGGUCAUUUUAGAGGAAGUAAAAGUCGUAACAAGGUUUCCGUAGGUGAACCUGCGGAAGGAUCAUUAUUGAAUGAACUCGGCAGACUGUUGCUGGCCUCUCGGGGCAUCGUGCACGUCUGCCCUUGUUUUCUUCAUUCACCCACCUGUGCACACAUGGUAGGCUUUGGAUGCCCAUCCGGAGGAAACAAAUCCCCUCCGGUCUUGGAGGCUGUCAUAAAUCGACUGCUUCUGCAUUUCCAGCCUAUGUCUUUUUACAUAUGCACCAUUUGUAUGUCACGGAAUGUAUCGGCCAGGCCACGAAAGGCCUAUAAACCUUUAUACAACUUUCAACAACGGAUCUCUUGGCUCUCGCAUCGAUGAAGAACGCAGCGAAAUGCGAUAAGUAAUGUGAAUUGCAGAAUUCAGUGAAUCAUCGAAUCUUUGAACGCACCUUGCGCUCCUUGGUAUUCCGAGGAGCAUGCCUGUUUGAGUGUCAUUAAAUUCUCAACCCAUAUGAUUUCUUGAUCACAUGGACUUUGGACAUGGGAGCUUUGCAGGCUUCAAGCUUGAGACCUGCUCUCCUCAAAUGCAUUAGCAGGACUCGUUGCAAUCGUCCAUGGCGUGAUAAUUAUCUACGCCUCCACCGAUUGCAGUGCUUGUCCCAGUCCAGCUGCUAAUCGUCCGUCCUAGCUUUGGGACAGCUCUUUUGACCAUCUGACCUCAAAUCAGGUAGGACUACCCGCUGAACUUAAGCAUAUCAAUAAGCGGAGGAAAAGAAACUAACAAGGAUUCCCCUAGUAACUGCGAGUGAAGCUGGAAAAGCUCAAAUUUAAAAUCUGGCAGUCUUUGGCUGUCCGAGUUGUAAUCUAGAGAAGUGCCAUCCGCGCUGGACCGUGUACAAGUCUCCUGAAUC
rnacentral:rRNA from 1 species